AAAGUCGUAACAAGGUCUCCGUAGGUGAACCUGCGGAGGGAUCAUCAAAGAAUUUAACAUAAACCACAAGUGUUUGGAAGAGAUUUCUUUCUCCUCUCAAACACUUUAAACAAACGAUCGCAACUAAAACUAAAUGAUUUGGUUGGGGGAACAAACAAGAAACGUUUGCCUGAUAAAAACAUUGGAUUGGAAAAAAAGAGAAAUAUACAACUUUCAACAACGGAUCUCUUGGCUCUC
rnacentral:misc_RNA from 1 species